UACGUAGGGUGCGAGCGUUGUCCGGAAUUAUUGGGCGUAAAGAGCUCGUAGGCGGUGUGUCACGUCGGCCGUGAAAACCUGCAGCUUAACUGUGGGCGUGCGGUCGAUACGGGCAUCACUGGAGUUCGGCAGGGGAGACUGGAAUUCCUGGUGUAGCGGUGAAAUGCGCAGAUAUCAGGAGGAACACCGGUGGCGAAGGCGGGUCUCUGGGCAUUACCUGACGCUGAGGAGCGAAAGCGUGGGGAGCAAACAGG
rnacentral:rRNA from 1 species